UACGGAGGGUGCGAGCGUUGUCCGGAAUCACUGGGCGUAAAGGGCGCGUAGGCGGCCUGCUAAGUCGAACGUGAAAUCCCUGGGCUCAACCCAGGAACUGCGUCCGAUACUGGUUGGCUUGAAUCCGGGAGAGGGAUGUGGAAUUCCAGGUGUAGCGGUGAAAUGCGUAGAUAUCUGGAGGAACACCGGUGGCGAAGGCGACAUCCUGGACCGGUAUGACGCUGAGGCGCGAAAGCCAGGGG
rnacentral:rRNA from 1 species